rnacentral:rRNA from 1 species
UUGAGCAGUUUGCUUAUUCUAUAUCCCCCUGCAGCCCAAGAGAGGUUACUCACUGAAGCUAAGGAGGGCUGAGCCUGGUCAGAACCUGGAUGAGAGGCCACAUGGGAAAACUAGGUUGCUGUUGGAA